CGGGGGAGCACCACAACAGGUGGAGCCUGCGAUUUAAUCGGACUCAACGCCGGGAAACUCACCAGAUAAGACAGCUGAAUGAUAGUCGGGCUGAAGACUCUACUUGACUAACUGAGAGGAGGUGCAUGGCCGUCGUCAGUUCGUACUGUGAAGCAUCCUGUUAAGUCAGGCAACGAGCGAGACCCACGCCAACAGUUGCCAGCUCGUCCUCCGGGAUGGUGGGGACACUGUUGGGACCGCCUCUGCUAAAGAGGAGGAAGGAAUGGGCAACGGUAGGUCAGCAUGCCCCGAAUUAUCUGGGCUACACGCGGGCUACAAUGGGUGGGACAAUGGGUAUCGACACCGAAAGGUGAAGGCAAUCUCCUAAACCCAUCCGUAGUUCGGAUUGUGGGCUGCAACUCGCCCACAUGAAGCUGGAAUCUGUAGUAAUCGUGUCUCAAAAUGGCACGGUGAAUAUGUCCCUGCUCCUU
rnacentral:rRNA from 1 species